rnacentral:rRNA from 1 species
CCUACGGGAUGCACCAGUGGGGAAUAUUGCACAAUGGGCGCAAGCCUGAUGCAGCCAUGCCGCGUGUAUGAAGAAGGCCUUCGGGUUGUAAAGUACUUUCAGCGGGGAGGAAGGUGUUGCGGUUAAUAACCGCAGCAAUUGACGUUACCCGCAGAAGAAGCACCGGCUAACUCCGUGCCAGCAGCCGCGGUAAUACGGAGGGUGCAAGCGUUAAUCGGAAUUACUAGGCGUAAAGCGCACGCAGGCGGUUGAUUAAGUUAGAUGUGAAAUCCCCGGGCUUAACCUGGGAAUGGCAUCUAAGAGUGGUCAGCUAGAGUCUUGUAGCGGGGGGUAGAAUUCCAUGUGUAGCGGUGUAAUGCGUAGAGGUGUGGAGGAAUACCGGUGGCGAAGGCGGCCCCCUGGACAAAGACUGACGCUCAGGUGCGAAAGCGUGGGGAGCAAACAGGAUUAGAUACCCGCGUAGUC